GCAUACCUCAGUGGUAAAGCAUCUGCUUUGCAUGCAGAACAUCCCAUAUUCAAUCCCUGGCAUCUCCA